rnacentral:snRNA from 1 species
AAGUGUUAUAGCUCUUUUAGAAUUUGUCUGGCAAAUUUUCUGGUUUUUACCAGUAAACCU